rnacentral:rRNA from 1 species
CCUACGGGAGGCAGCAGUGGGGAAUCUUGCACAAUGGGCGAAAGCCUGAUGCAGCAACGCCGCGUGAGCGAAGAAGGCCUUGGGGUCGUAAAGCUCUGUCCGAAGGGAAGAAGGAAGUGACGGUACCGUAGGAGGAAGCGCCGGCUAACUACGGGCCAGCAGCCGCGGUAAUACGUAGGGGGCAAGCGUUAUCCGGACUUAUUGGGCGUAAAGAGUACGUAGGCGGUUCUUUAAGCGUAGGGUCUACGGCGAUGGCUUAACCAUCGUUCGCCCUGUGAACGGGAGGACUUGAGUAUCGGAGAGGCAAGCGGAAUUCCUAGUGUAGCGGUGAAAUGCGUAGAUAUUAGGAGGAACCCCAGUGGCGAAGGCGGCUUUCUGGACGAAACCUGACGCUGAGGUACGAACGCGUGGGGAGCAAACAGGAUUAGAUACCCGGGUAGUC